rnacentral:lncRNA from 10 species
AGUAAGAACACUACAAAUCCAAAUGAUUUGAUAAAAAUCUUGGCAGCAGAGGAGGAGAGGAGGAGAAAACAAGAUUCCAAGCCACUAACACACACUUCCUGUUUCAAACGCAGACACCAAGUGGCUUCAGCAUGAGUCAGCGGCAAACACCCUCAAGUCAUGAGCUGGAACGCUCAGAAACGAUAUGUACCUUCAAUCAAAUUACAGAAUUAACUAGGGGAAAAUGAGGAAGAACUUUAGGUACAGACAGCGAGAGAUCUUCAAAAUACUAUUAAAAGAAGAAAGCACUCUCGGUGUAAAAAAGAAGCCGAGGCGAGCAGAUCACUUGACUUCAGGAGUUCAAGACCAGCCCAGCCAAAAUGGUGAAAUCCACCUCCACUAAAAAUACAAAAAUUAGCCAGGCAUGGUGGUGGGUGCCUGUAAUCCCAGCUACUUGGGAGGCUGAUGCAGAAGAAUUACGUGAACCUGGAAGGCGGAGGCUGCAGUGAGCCAAGAUGGUGCCACUACACUCCAGCCUGAAUGACAGAGGAAGACUCCGUCUCAAAAAAAAGAAAAAAGAAGAGGUGCUGCUUAUAAAACAGAAUAUGACAACUUUAUUGGGAGGAAAAAAGGUAAUUUUUGCAUAUGCUGAUAAAACUACAAAAAGGGAAAAUGGCCAAAUACUUAUUCAGUAGCAAAUACCAGUGAGUGGACGGACAUAAAUUAUAAUUUUGAUAAAACUACAAAAGGAGGCCGGACACGGUGGCUCACGCCUGUAAUCCCAGCACUUUGGGAGGCCGAGGCAGGCGGAUCACGAGGUCAGGAGAUUGAGACCAUCCUGGCUAAACCCCGUCUCUAUUAAAAAUACAAAAAUUAGCCGGGCGUGGUGGCACAUGCUUGUAGUCCCAGCUACCCGGGAGGCUGAGGCAGGGGAAUCGCUUGAACCGGGGAGGCAGAGGUUGCAGUGAGCCGAGAUCGCACCACUGAACUCCAGCCUGGGCAACAGCGAGAAAAAAAAAAAGUAAAAAAGGCCAAAUAUUUAUUCAAUAUAUUUCAAUUAUUUAUUCAAUUUAUUCAAUAUAUUUAUAGCAAAUACCAGUGAGUGACAAUUAUUUAACUAAAAUGAUAUCUGACUAAAUGUUGAAGCAAGGCAUGUUUGUGACACCAAAAAGUUUAUCACAGAAAUUCAGGACAGCCAACUGCUAUUAAAAUGUUCUGGUUUCACCAUCUCCUUCUCCAAAAGCCUUCCUAACUUCCAAUCAAAUGUUAUUUUAGGUGUUUGGUAAAAUGAGGAAUGUUAUCAAAAGAGGGGAGGAGAAACUGCUGUUCAAAAAAGUCAAUAUCCUGAAAGGCUGUGGGAAACUUCCAGACUACAAAAAGCUAGAGACAUGAUAACUAAAUACAUUUCCUGACCCUAGACUGGAUCCUGUGCUGGAAGGGAAAAUUCUAGAAAGGACAUUAUAUGGUCAACUCCCAAAAUUAGAAUAUGGACAGGUUAGAAAAAAGUACUGCAUCAAUGUAAAUUUGUGAAAGUGGUAACGUAUUACUGUGGUUAUUUAAGAGAAUAUGCCUAUUCUUAGGAAAUACACAUUCAAGAAUUUAGGAUUAAGUGGCUACAGUGUAUGUAAUCUUCCCUGAAAUCUCAAAGGGUUUGGAAAAAUAUUGUAUGUCUGUAUAUUUGCAUUUGUUAGCCCAUGUCUGUGUGUCUGUAUGUGUAUCCGUAUGAGUGUGUAUUUGCAGACAGAGAAUUCCAGCACACACAAAUGAUUAAGCAAAUGGAUUUAAUCUUAACAACAGGUGGAUCUGGGUAAAGGACCAUCUGGGGAUUCUUUGUACUAUUUUUCUUUCCGCAACUUUUCAAGUUUCAAACUAUUUGCAAAUAAAGAGUUUUUGUU